rnacentral:rRNA from 1 species
GACGAACGCUGGCGGCGUGCUUAACACAUGCAAGUCGAACGGAAAGGCCCUGCUUUUGUGGGGUGCUCGAGUGGCGAACGGGUGAGUAACACGUGAGUAACCUGCCCUUGACUUUGGGAUAACUUCAGGAAACUGGGGCUAAUACCGGAUAGGAGCUCCUGCUGCAUGGUGGGGGUUGGAAAGUUUCGGCGGUUGGAGAUGGACUCGCGGCUUAUCAGCUUGUUGGUGGGGUAGUGGCUUACCAAGGCUUUGACGGGUAGCCGGCCUGAGAGGGUGACCGGCAACAUGGGGACGGGGAUACGGCCCAGACUCUUACGGGAGGCAGCAGUGGGGAAUAUUGCACAAUGGGCGGAAGCCUGAUGCAGCAACGCCGCGUGCGGGAUGACGGCCUUCGGGUUGUAAACCGCUUUCGCCGGUGACGAAGCGUGAGUGACGGUAAUGGGUAAAGAAGCACCGGCUAACUACGU